rnacentral:rRNA from 1 species
AACGAACGCUGGCGGCGUGGAUAAGACAUGCAAGUCGAACGCUUGUUUUUCCUGUAGCAAUAUAGGGAGGCAGGAGUGGCGCAAGGGUGCGUAACACGUGGAUCAUCUGCCUGGAAGUUCGGAAUAAUUCCGCGAAAGCGGGACUAAUGCCGGAUGUGGAUGGAAGUCUAAAGCUGGGGACCGCAAGGCCUGGCGCUUCCAGAUGAGUCCGCGGCCUAUCAGCUAGUUGGCGGGGUAACGGCCCACCAAGGCUAAGACGGGUAGCUGGUCUGAGAGGACGACCAGCCUCACUGGAACUGAGACACGGUCCAGACACCUACGGGUGGCAGCAGUCGAGAAUUUUUCUCAAUGGGGGAAACCCUGAAGGAGCGACGCCGCGUGGGGGAUGAAGGGCUUCGGCCCGUAAACCCCUGUCAUUUGCGAACAAGUGCCAUGGUUGAACAUUCCAUGGCUUGAUUGUAG